GACGAACGCUGGCGGUGUGCUUAACACAUGCCAGUCGAACGGUAAGGCCCUUUCGGGGGUACACGAGUGGCGAACGGGUGAGUAACACGUGAGUAACCUGCCCUCAUCUCUGGGAUAACAGUCGGAAACGGUUGCUAAUACUGGAUAUGAGCUUGCAAGGCAUCUUGUGGGUUGGAAAGAUUUUUUUGGUUGGGGAUGGACUCGCGGCCUAUCAGCUUGUUGGUGAGGUAGUGGCUCACCAAGGCUUCGACGGGUAGCCGGCCUGAGAGGGCGACCGGCCACAUUGGGACUGAGAUACGGCCCAAACUCCUACGGGAGGCAGCAGUGGGGAAUAUUGCACAAUGGACGGAAGUCUGAUGCAGCAACGCCGCGGGCGGGAUGACGGCCUUCGGGUUGUAAACCGCUUUCAAUUGUGACGAAGCUUUUUGUGACGGUAGCAGUAGAAGAAGCACCGGCUAACUACGUG
rnacentral:rRNA from 1 species